rnacentral:rRNA from 1 species
GACGAACGCUGGCGGCGUGCUUAACACAUGCAAGUCGAACGGAAAGGCCCUGCUUUUGUGGGGUGCUCGAGUGGCGAACGGGUGAGUAACACGUGAGUAACCUGCCCUUUACUUUGGGAUAACUUCAGGAAACUGGGGCUAAUACCGGAUAGGAGCUCCUGCUGCAUGGUGGGGGUUGGAAAGUUUCGGCGGUUGGGGAUGGACUCGCGGCUUAUCAGCUUGUUGGUGGGGUAGUGGCUUACCAAGGCUUUGACGGGUAGCCGGCCUGCGAGGGUGACCGGCCACAUUGGGACUGAGAUACGGCCCAGACUCCUACGGGAGGCAGCAGUGGGGAAUAUGGCACAAUGGGCGGAAGCCUGAUGCAGCAACGCCGCGUGCGGGAUGACGGCCUUCGGGUUGUAAACCGCUUUCGCCUGUGACGAAGCGUGAGUGACGGUAAUGGGUAAAGAAGCACCGGCUAACUACGUG